rnacentral:rRNA from 1 species
UUGAACGCUGGCGGCAUGCUUUACACAUGCAAGUCGAACGGCAGCGCGGGCUUCGGCCUGGCGGCGAGUGGCGAACGGGUGAGUAAUACAUCGGAACGUGCCCAGUAGUGGGGGAUAGCUCGGCGAAAGCCGGAUUAAUACCGCAUACGACCUGAGGGUGAAAGCGGGGGAUCUUCGGACCUCGCGCUAUUGGAGCGGCCUAUGGCAGAUUAGCUAGUUGGUGGGGUAAAGGCCUACCAAGGCGACGAUCUGUAGCUGGUCUGAGAGGACGACCAGCCACACUGGGACUGAGACACGGCCCAGACUCCUACGGGAGGCAGCAGUGGGGAAUUUUGGACAAUGGGCGAAAGCCUGAUCCAGCAAUGCCGCGUGUGUGAUGAAGGCCUUCGGGUUGUAAAGCACUUUUGGCGGGAACGAAAAGGACUGUGCCAAUACCACGGUUCGAUGACGGUACCCGCAGAAUAAGCACCGGCUAACUACGUG